AGUAAGAUAGGAUAAAAAGUCUAUUAGGUUCAUACCCUGAUGGUGGUAAACUCUUGCUA
rnacentral:tRNA from 1 species